GGGUGCUUAGCUCAGUUGGUUAGAGCGCUUCGUUUACACCGAAGAGGUCGGGGGUUCGAGUCCCUCAGCGCCCA
rnacentral:tRNA from 1 species